rnacentral:rRNA from 1 species
AGUGAACGCUGGCGGUAGGCCUAACACAUGCAAGUCGAACGGCAGCACAGUAAGAGCUUGCUCUUACGGGUGGCGAGUGGCGGACGGGUGAGGAAUACAUCGGAAUCUACUUUUUCGUGGGGGAUAACGUAGGGAAACUUACGCUAAUACCGCAUACGACCUACGGGUGAAAGCAGGGGAUCUUCGGACCUUGCGCGAUUGAAUUAGCCGAUGUCGGAUUAGCUAGUUGGCGGGGUAAAGGCCCACCAAGGCGACGAUCCGUAGCUGGUCUGAGAGGAUGAUCAGCCACACUGGAACUGAGACACGGUCCAGACGCCUACGGGAGGCAGCAGUGGGGAAUAUUGGACAAUGGGCGCAAGCCUGAUCCAGCCAUACCGCGUGGGUGAAGAAGGCCUUCGGGUUGUAAAGCCCUUUUGUUGGGAAAGAAAAGCAGCAGGUUAAUACCCCGCUGUUCUGACGGUACCCAAAGAAUAAGCACCGGCUAACUUCGUG